rnacentral:rRNA from 1 species
CGAAAAGGGCGUUUGGUGGAUGCCUUGGCAGUAAGAGGCGAUGAAGGACGUGAUACUCUGCGAUAAGCUAGGGGGAGCCGAGAAUAGGCUUUGAUCCCUGGAUCUCCGAAUGGGGCAACCCACCUGACAGUUUGAUAUAAUUGCCUUCGGGCAGCUUAUAUCUUGCUGAAACAGGUACUUAUUACCUGAACACAUAGGGU